UUCAAACUCAUGUGAUGUGAACGAUGUA
rnacentral:piRNA from 1 species